AGCCCGAGCGGAGGCGGUGCGGAGCGUUUCUCGUCUCAGCGGCUCGGGAACCAGUGCGUGCUGCGGAGCUGCGGCUGAGCCUCUAGGUAGAAGGCGCAAGAGGUUGGCAGCUUCGAUUGAAGCACGUCGGGCGGCGAGAGCAGCUAGAAGUCAUGAGCGACAGCGGCGAGCAGAACUACGGCGAGCGGGAAUCCCGUUCUGCUUCCAGAAGUGGAAGUGCUCAUGGAUCUGGGAAAUCUGCAAGGCAUACCCCUGCAAGGUCUCGCUCCAAGGAAGAUUCCAGGCGUUCCAGAUCAAAGUCCAGGUCCAGAUCUGAAUCUAGGUCUAGAUCCAGAAGAAGUUCUCGAAGGCAUUAUACAAGGUCACGAUCUCGGUCCCGCUCCCAUAGAAGAUCCCGUAGCAGAUCUUACAGUAGAGAUUAUCGAAGACGGCAUAGCCACAGUCAUUCUCCCAUGUCUACUCGGAGGCGUCAUGUUGGGAAUCGGGCAAAUCCUGAUCCCAACUGUUGUCUUGGAGUAUUUGGAUUGAGCUUAUACACUACAGAAAGAGAUCUAAGAGAAGUGUUCUCUAAAUAUGGCCCAAUUGCUGAUGUGUCUAUUGUAUAUGACCAGCAGUCUAGACGUUCAAGAGGAUUUGCCUUUGUAUAUUUUGAAAAUGUAGAUGAUGCCAAGGAAGCGAAAGAGCGUGCCAAUGGAAUGGAGCUUGAUGGACGUAGGAUCAGAGUUGAUUUCUCUAUAACAAAGAGACCACAUACCCCAACACCAGGAAUUUACAUGGGGAGACCUACCUAUGGCAGCUCACGCCGUCGAGAUUACUACGACAGGGGAUAUGAUCGAGGCUAUGAUGAUCGGGACUAUUACAGCAGGUCAUACAGAGGAGGAGGUGGAGGAGGAGGAGGAUGGAGAGCUGCUCAAGACAGGGAUCAGAUAUACAGGACUAAAACAGACCUUGAAAUCCUGUGACUAAUGCAAUAUUUUUCAAGAAGACGGUCACCUUCUCCCUACUAUAGUCGUGGAGGAUACAGAUCACGUUCCAGAUCUCGAUCAUACUCACCUCGUCGCUAUUAAAGCAUGAAGUUGAAGACUUUCUGAAACCUACCCUAGAGUUGGGAUAUUGUUUGUGGACAAUAUUUUUUAUUGUCUCCUGUUUAAAAAGUGAACAGUGCCUAGUGAAGUUAGGUGACUUUUACACCUUUUAUGAUGACUACUUUUGGUGGAGUUGAAAUGCUGUUUUCAUUCUGCAUUUGUGUAGUUCGGUGCUUUGUUCAAAGUUAAGUGUUUUCAGAAAAGUAUGUUUUGCAUGUAUUUUUUUACAGUCUGAAUUUUGACUGCUGAGAAGUUUCUAUUGUACAAAACUUCAUUUAAAAUGGUUUUUCUACUGAAUCCAGGGUAUUCUGAAGAUCGAAGCCUGUGUGUAAAAUGAGCUACCAAAUGGCAAAAAGCAACAAUAAAGUUUGGUUUUUACUUUUCUUUCUAACAUAUCAAUGGUUAGCAGAACUGUUCAGAAUAGACUGUCAGUAGUAAAUUCAAGACAAAAAUGCCCGUUUUCCUCCAGUCCAUAAAACAUAACCAUACUUAAUAUACCUGCAAUUAAGUGAUAAAAAUUAUGCUCUGUAACUCUAUACUGCUAGUAUUAGGCCUAAAGAUCUUUCAAUACAGCUAAUGCUUAAUAUAAAUGUGAAUUUGUCGGCGUUUAUAUAAUCUGUGUUAUAUAUAUAGCAGGGAAUAAGAUAAGAGUUACACAAUGAACGCCUUUAAAAGGCUGUUUCUUAAAGCUGUUACAAGGGGAUAAUGGUAUUUCAACUAGUUAUCAGCAAGUGACAAUACAUUCCACCACAAAUGUACUCUUGUUCUUCUAGCUUUUAGAUUAUAUGGAAAAACUGGGUGCUUUAGGGUUUGAGAAAGAGAGAAGGGAACACUACACCUGUUGUGGAUGAACUGAAGACUUUGCCUGUUCAUUUUUUAAAUAUUAUUUUCAGGUCCUUUGCUUACCAAAGGAGGCCCAAUUUCACUCAAAUGUUUUGAGAACUGUGUUUAAAUAAACGCAAAUGAAAAGAGUAAAAGGCUGGUACAACUCAGUUUAUAAAGAUUUUGUUUUAACCUUGCUACAUAUAUAAUUAAGAGUUCUUUUGGACUCAGUUGUAUUCUUUUUGUUGUUAUUGGUGUUCUAAAUAGAUAAAUUGUGUAUUCCUGGCAGAUAAAUCAAAGUGAGUAACUAGGUAUUGGAGUGAUCAUCUCCACUUGCAGAUGGUGUUAUAUUAAAAUAACUCUAGUCUCCACACUUGCCCUGAAGGUACCUGAAAUGCACAUUCUUCUUAGUUUAUUUUUCAUGGUCAUUUCUAGCGAAAUUGCUAUAGGCAGGUAAUUAAAGUUUGUUAGCCUGCUGACCUUUGUAUUAUUACUUAAAUACAGUAUAGUGUGUCCCAGGUACUUUGUAAAGCACUUCCCAUAUAUUAAUAUGUUCAGUCUACGUCAAUCAAAAUGGUGUAGUAAUUUACCUUAGGUCAAACAGCUGUUAAAACAGCAAUGCUGGGAUCUGAACUUGACCAGUCUCAAUCCAUACUCUGUACUCUUAAUCAUGAUUUCAUUCUGCCUCUAACCUGGGUAACCAGAUGAUUAAAAAUACUGGUAAUGGAGUGUAGGCAUUAUUUGUAGGCCUAAAUUUGCCAAACUUACUGGACAGGUAGAGAUAGGCUGAAGAGUGGUGAGACUCCUUUCCUGUUCUGAGAUAAGAAAGCAAGUAGUAAUCUGUUAGUGUGCUAUGAUGGUAGUUACCUGGUUUACAAAAAGGGUUUUUGUAAGCCAUAAAACAGUGUAUAAGCAUAAGAAUUGAAGACCAUGCGUAUGGAAGGUGUAAAUGGUCACUUCCUCACAGUAGAAUUUGGUACAAACAGGUCCCUUUAAGACUUACUGUUCACACUAUGGAACAUUUUGUUCCCAUAAUUAAAGCUUUCUUACAUUUAA